GGGUGUGAUCUAAUAAGGAGGGUGCAUCAAGAAAACUACCUGGGCUAAAGGCCCAAGUUUCCGAAAAAUCCAAGACAGGUCUGUGUAACCCUGAUUCUAUCUCCUUUGUGAUCCUUCUCAACAUUGCAAAAUGACGGCAUGGAAUUCAUCACCAAGAACCAGACAUCACCGUGUUUAAAUGCAAACCGAGGGGAAUGAAAUCAUCGAGUUGAAUCGAAAGAAAAUUGAAGAAUCUUAUUCACCAGACGCGGUUAUAAAUUAAUUUCAGCCAAGUGAGAACGUUCUCGUGCGAUAUCACAUUAGCCAUAUCAAUAACGUGAGUCCGAGCCUCGUCGAAGAGCGAAGAACUCCAAAUCUGAAUCGCGUCCCACUCAAAACUCCAUCUUCAAAAUGGAGUUCGAAACACAGUUCUUGUGCUCGACAUAAAGACAAUUGAAGAAAGAGGAACGUACCGGCUUUGACACCAGAUCCAGGUUCAUAUGGUUUUUAUUGGUUAUGGACCAUUUGGAAGUGCUUGGAUAUAAUGGGGCAAGUGACUUAGGAUGAAGCUGUUUUGGUUGGAUUUUGUAUUGGCUAUGGUUCACUCAUGGAAUGCUUGAAUUGUGUAGUUUAGGACUUGUAUGUAAUUUUGAAUUAAAGUUCCUUUGACUGGUUUGUAAUAGUUGGUUUAUGGAUGGUUGUAAUGAAUUAAUGAAUGUGGUUUUGAAAUGGUAUAUGGAAUUGAAAGUAGUAUAAAUUGUGGUUUGAAAUUGUAAUGUGAGGUGAUGGUUGAAUAUAUGAAUUUGGUUUAAUGGAAAUUAAAUGUAUGUAAUUGGAAUUGAA